UACGGAGGGUGCGAGCGUUGUCCGGAAUCACUGGGCGUAAAGGGCGCGUAGGCGGCAGGCCAAGCGUGCGGUGAAAGUCCGGGGCUCAACCCCGGGUCUGCCGUGCGGACUGGUUUGCUAGAGCACUGUAGAGGCGAGUGGAAUUCCGGGUGUAGCGGUGGAAUGCGUAGAGAUCCGGAAGAACACCGGUGGCGAAGGCGGGUUGCUGGGCUGACACUGACGCUGAUGCGCGAAAGCUAGGGGAGCGAACGGG
rnacentral:rRNA from 1 species